rnacentral:rRNA from 1 species
UACGGAGGAUGCAAGCGUUAUCCGGAAUGCUUGGGCGUAAAGCGUCCGCAGGUGGCUAUGUAAGUCUGCUGUUAAAGAGUCUGGCUCAACCAGAUAAAGGCAGUGGAAACUACAUGGCUAGAGUGCGUUCGGGGCAGAGGGAAUUCCUGGUGUAGCGGUGAAAUGCGUAGAGAUCAGGAAGAACACCGGUGGCGAAAGCGCUCUGCUAGGCCGCAACUGACACUGAGGGACGAAAGCUAGGGGAGCGAAUGGG